GUAUGGUGAGGUCUCUCAGUAUGGUGAUAAUAUGGUAUGGUGAGGUCUCUCAGUAUGGUGAUAAUAUGGUAUGGUGAUAAUAUGGUAUGGUGAGGUCUCUCAGUAUGGUGAUAAUAUGGUAUGGUGAGGUCUCUCAGUAUGGUGAUAAUAUGGUAUGGUGAUAAUAUGGUAUGGUGAGGUCUCUCAGUAUGGUGAUAAUAUGGUAUGGUGAUAAUAUGGUAUGGUGAGGUCUCUCAGUAUGGUGAUAAUAUGGUAUGGUGAUAAUAUGGUAUGGUGAGGUCCCUCAGUAUGGUGAUAAUAUGGUAUGGUGAGGUCUCUCAGUAUGGUGAUAAUAUGGUAUGGUGAGGUCUCUCAGUAUGGUGAUAAUAUGGUAUGGUGAGGUCUCUCAGUAUGGUGAUAAUAUGGUAUGGUGAGGUCCCUCAGUAUGGUGAUAAUAUGGUGUGGUGAUAAUAUGGUAUGGUGAGGUCUCUCAGUAUGGUGAUAAUAUGGUAUGGUGAGGUCUCUCAGUAUGGUGAUAAUAUGGUGUGGUGAUAAUAUGUUAUGGUGAGGUCUCUCAGUAUGGUGAUAAUAUGGUAUGGUGAGGUCCCUCAGUAUGGUGAUAAUAUGGUAUGGUGAGGUCUCUCAGUAUGGUGAUAAUAUGGUAUGGUGAGGUCUCUCAGUAUGGUGAUUAUAUGGUAUGGUGAGGUCUCUCAGUAUGGUGAUAAUAUGGUAUGGUGAGGUCUCUCAGUAUGGUGAUAACAUGGUA